GUGUCAGCAGCCGCGGUAAGACGAACCGUGCGAACGUUAAUCGGAUUCAUUGGGCUUAAAGGGCGCGUAGGCGGCGGCGUAAGUUCGUGGUGAAAUCCCAUCGGCUCAACCGUGGAAUUGCUUCGAAUACUGCGUCGCUCGAGGGAGAUAGGGGACCGCAGAACUGCCGGUGGAGCGGUGAAAUGUGUUGAUAUCGGCGGGAAUGCCAGUGCCGAAAGGGGCGGUCUGGACCUCUUCUGACGCUGAGGCGCGAAAGCUAGGGGAGCGAACGGGAUUAGAUACCCCUGUAGUCC
rnacentral:rRNA from 1 species